rnacentral:rRNA from 1 species
UGGGGAAUAUUGCACAAUGGGCGCAAGCCUGAUGCAGCCAUGCCGCGUGUAUGAAGAAGGCCUUCGGGUUGUAAAGUACUUUCAGCGAGGAGGAAGGCGGUAAGGUUAAUAACCUUAUCGAUUGACGUUACUCGCAGAAGAAGCACCGGCUAACUCCGUGCCAGCAGCCGCGGUAAUACGGAGGGUGCAAGCGUUAAUCGGAAUUACUGGGCGUAAAGCGCACGCAGGCGGUAUGUCAAGUCGGAUGUGAAAUCCCCGGGCUCAACCUGGGAACUGCAUUCGAAACUGGCAGGCUAGAGUCUUGUAGAGGGGGGUAGAAUUCCAGGUGUAGCGGUGAAAUGCGUAGAGAUCUGGAGGAAUACCGGUGGCGAAGGCGGCCCCCUGGACAAAGACUGACGCUCAGGUGCGAAAGCGUGGGGAGCAAUCA